AUGGCCCUAUAUGGAACCGUCAUGCUUUCUGCCGCCCUUGGCCCUUCGCCGCUCACCGUGCCACCGUGGUAUGGCCUGUUUUUGCUUUUGCCAUGGAAACCGGAUGCUAUCAACCAAUUUGUCAUGACAAUCCACGGUAUCCACCGAGGAGCCCACGAUGUACAGGGCACCAACUCUGGGCCCACACCAUUUUGUGUCCCGUACCCUCCGGGAAGAGAGAGAGGACCAAAGGAGGAGAGGCAUCCACACCACCGAGCUCGUCGGAAAGAGAGAAAGAGGACUGGACCGGCGCCGGCGAUGGCAAUGCAGCCACCUCGGAGGAAGACUGGGCCGGCACCGACGAUGACGACGCAGCCACUGCGGAUAAGGAUCGGAAGGGGUGAAGAAGAGGGGAGGGGGAGAGGGGAGCUCGAGGUCGAUCCGCGCCGUCGCUUGGGCCACACCGCUGCCACCGUCGUUGGGGGUGGAGGAGAGGGCGCCGCCGCUACUCCGCUCGACAGCCGCCGUAGCGAGGAGGAGGAGAGGAGUGGUGGUCGCCGCGGAGCUUGUCCGCGCGUUGGCCAGGAGGGGCGCCCGUCAAAGGAGGAGAUAAGGGGCGUCGACCGGAGCUGGAAGAAGAGGGAAGCUGGGGAAGAAGGAGCGGCGGCGCGGUGGGGUGAGCGGCCGCCGGAUCUGGCCGCCCCACCACCGCUUCGACCGGCGCCGUCGCCGCCCCGCCACCGCUCCGCCCGGUGCCGUCGCCGCUCAAGCUGCCACCCGGCUCUCUACGGGUGGAAAAGGAAGAGAGGGGAGAGGGAAAAGUGGAAAAGUGGUAUUGGUGAGACCCACUAUAAGUUUUUUCGCUAAGUUUAGGUUA
rnacentral:lncRNA from 1 species